GGGAUUGUAGUUCAAUUGGUCAGAGCACCGCCUUGUCAAGGCGGAAUCUGCGGGUUCGAGUCCCGUCAUUCCCA